rnacentral:lncRNA from 1 species
GCUUCGAGCGCCCUUUCCCCUUCUCCGCACUCAAGUUGCUGUCUUUCCUAUGGCUUGGACCCUUUCCGUGCCUCUGAGGAAAGAUUCUCGCUACUCAAUUUCUUGAGUAAGUGAAGUUCUCCUAUCAGCUUAAAAAGGGCUUUCUCAGGUCGACCUUUCUUUAGGUUAAGUGGCGUGUAGCUAAUCUCGCUAAUAUCUCAGAUCGGGGGACGACUCUGUCUCCGCUUCUGCUCGUGCACUCGUUAAAGCAAACUCAUGGCCUAGUUCGUGAAUGAGCCUACAAGUGAUGCGGCGCUUUCAAAAUCCCGUGACUCUCAGUCAUCUAUCUUCUUUUCACCUGAAAAUGUUGGAUUGGGGGAAGGCUUUCCUUCUUUGUUGACUUCAACUGAUACCGGCCGAUAGCCCAAUCUCUUAGUCUCGGAACUAAUUGUCUAUCUAGUAGCCACUCCUUGCUUUGAUGAGUUAAGUGAAAUGAAAGUCGAUUUUGAUCCUAUAUCGCAGCAUCAUGACUCGUCAAUGAAGCCGACAUGGGGCUAGAGUCAUCACAUCAAGUAUUGGGCACGUGGGUGAGUGAACUCUAGUUGUGCUUGAGUUGCGAUCCGCUCCGGUCAAGUCGAACCUUGCCAAUUAGCUUCUGGAGAUCGGGUUCUCACUACCAGUCCAAGUGGGAAUUCUUCUAAGAAAACCCCUUCUUCUAGUCUUUAUCUUGAAUCUUUCUUAUUGUCUUUCCCUUUCAUCUUGAUAUCAACUCUGACAUUAACAAAGCAUCGGGCGGGGAAGCUUUCAAUAUUAUGAUGAAAGAGACUAUCGGAGAAGGUCCCACUCUGCUUGCGUCCGCUAGCUGACGACGUGUGUAACGCAUGCUCCUGUUCCGCGGUUGGUGUUAUAUAUAGAAGUUCUUGGUUGAGAGUAUCGGGUCUUCAAUUAGGGCUGAUCUCCUCAACGCAUCCGCUGUUCAAUCAUCUGCUGCUGAUGGUCUUGUUGUCGCAGACGGUCUUCUGUUGGCAAUUGAAUCAACUCUUACUGCUCGAGUAGACGGUCUUCUUGGUGAGUGAAUCAUCUUCAUCCUAUAAUAAAUAAGGACAUUUACACCACCUAUUACAGGUCAGGUCCUAAAGCUAUAGUGUAAUUCCCUGUGACUAUUGACAGGAGAUCCUUCUAUGCUUUCACCGAUAAUCACAUCCAACUACAUCCAGGAAUCGCAUCUGCCAGAUGUGGUUUCGGGACCAGGCGUGUAACCUCGAUAGCAUGUGCCCUAGCCACCCAAGCCUAUUAGUCGCUUAGAUAAAGAAGGAAGCCCUUCGGGAGCUAUUCUUUCCCUGAUAUUGGCAGGACUUACUAGCCCCUAGCUGUUUCAAUGGUAGGAGCAGGGGAUUGAAGAGGGACAUCCGUGCUAAGAAGAAGGGACUGCAGCCCCAAGGUGUAGCAUCAGUUCCAGACAACCGCUCAAGUUCAAGUAAAGGCUUCUGUCCUAGGAAGAAAGGCUCGAAAGCCUAAAGCUAUGAUUUAUACUUGCUCUCUCCCUGAAGUGGAUGUGGAAAAGCGGGCGCUAAUGCAAGGAAAGGAGGUGUUGUUCGUCCACUUCUGCUCCAGCUGAGAAAUUACCUUGUAGUCAGAGGAAACUCAAACGUAAGCUAGAACCGGAGAAGAGAAGAUACUUUAGGUUUAGUCCUAUUGCCUGGAAGUAGAGGGGAGUUCACUCACAGCCGGGGCUGCUUCAUUCUCCUAAGCCUCAGAAUAGACACCUUGCUGAAGCCCUAGGAGGGGAAGGAGUUAGUCUUCUAGUUUAUCCCAGACUUAUUGGAAAUGGAAAGCCAGGGGAAUGCUACCAACUCCCUUUACUCCCACGUUGGAAAGCAUAUGAACUUGACUGAACUGAAUGACCAGCGGGGUAAAAGAAGAAGGGAUAAGAUAAGACAGUAGCACCCACCACUCUGUCAGUAGAAGGUUAUCCAGUCGAUCUUCGUAAGUAAGUAAGUAACACUUUCAUCGAUGAUUCCUCUAAUCCUCUAAAGGCUUAGAAGGGAGCUGAACCGUUUAUCUCUAUGAAAUUCUGGACGCCUCACUUCGCUCGCCUCCCUUCCGGUCGCCUCAGCUUCUGAAUCCAAUCUUGAACGUUCAGUUAGGAAUUAUCAUUGCCCGGUUACAGGACUAGGGCCCUACUAGCCUCAUCGGCCGAUGUCUGCCGUCUCGCGAUUCUUGCGUUUAUGGACCGAAGGAAAAUAACUCCAAUCCUUCUUCAGGGCAACAUGCUAUAUUAUAUGAUAUAUCUUGGGAGUUGAAGGUCGCAGUCCCUUUCCCUCAGGCGAGUUCCUCACUUAACUUAAAAGAGGAAGGAGUCUUUGCGAAUUCAGUAGCUAUGCUAUUUAAUACACACCUGACUUCUACCUUCGUGUGUCAAUGGAUCUUUCACAGACUCCCUAUUUAUUAUG